rnacentral:lncRNA from 1 species
CAGAGCGCUAAUGGCCUGCAGCGACAGGAGAGAGUGGGAAGUGGACAGACACAUUUGAAAAGAAAAACGGCUCUCAGCAUCGGCUAAGGCUAAGUCCUCAUUCUUUUACUCUCCACAGGUCUAUUUCUGGCUCCUCUUUCCACAGCACGAGCAGCUCCUCAAAGGAAAGAGCUUUCUCCUGACUGCCCUGACCUCCAGCCGAGCUCCGAAAAAGGAGGACAGGGUUGGCGCUCGCAGUGUUGACCCUGAACACAGCACAUCUUGCCUGAUGUAGACCCAUCUGCUGAGGUUCCACCACCUCCCAGUAGCACUGAAGGCUGGGCGCCAAGCCUUUAGGACAUGGGCCUUGCGGGGGACUCUCAAGCAAACCAUAGCAAAGGGAGAGAGCUACACGGUCUCCGGAUGCUGAGAUGUUUCCGGGAUGACGGCUCUGCAUUGGAUCUCAGACAGUUCUAGGUGUUGUGGG